rnacentral:misc_RNA from 1 species
GAAAUGCGAUAAGUAAUGUGAAUUGCAGAAUUCAGUGAAUCAUCGAAUCUUUGAACGCACCUUGCGCUCCUUGGUAUUCCGAGGAGCAUGCCUGUUUGAGUGUCAUGGAAUUCUCAACUCUAUUUGCUUUUGUGAAUAGAGCUUGGAUUUGGAGGUUUAUUGCUGGUACUUGUGAUCGGCUCCUCUUGAAUGCAUUAGCUCGAACCUUUGCGGAUCAGCUAUCGGUGUGAUAAUUGUCUACGCCGUUGCAGUGAAGCAUAUCAAUGGGCUCGGCUUCCAAUCGUCCUUUACUGGACAAUGACUUUGACCUUUGACCUCAAAUCAGGCAGGAUUACCCGCUGAACUUAAGC